rnacentral:lncRNA from 1 species
CUCUGUCAAGCAAGUCACCAAGGCCCCUCCAGCUUCAAGGAGAGGGACACAGAUUCCAGAUGAGCAUGUGAGAUGGUACACGUAACUAUAACUAUCUUAGAAUAUAGAAUCCUCUCUAAUAGUCCCAUACACUUGCGCUCUCACCAGGCCUUUGGAUUCAGACUGGAACUACACUGUUUGCUCUCCUGGGUCUCCAGCUUGCCAACUGCAGCUCUCGAGACUUCUCAGCUUCCAUAAUCAUGUGAGACAACCUCUUAUGAACAAAUACACUUGGAAGACCUCUGAGCUCAACACAGUGAGGACUUAAGCUCAGCCAAGCCUGCAGCUUGAAGCAGAACCACCCAGCUGCUCCCAGCCUGGAUCAGUGCAUCUGUAGUUGGUUGACCUGCAGACCCAUUAUCCUGAGAAUAAAUGCUUAUUGUCAUCUA